GAAAAGCUCCAGCUAGCUCACCGAAGGAAAGUAUUGUAAGGGAAUACCAUGAAACGUACUGAGAGGCAAAAAAUGCAUGAGAUCAUGGAUGAAUAUCUUCUCAUCUGUCGCCAAAAGGGGGCACCGGCUCAUAAGCUGAUAGCAGAAACGGGGCUGUGUUGAGAAGGAAAUUGUACAACUCGUCUCUCGGAAUGGGAUCAGGAAGCUUGUCAUGGGAGCAGCAGCAGAGAAGCACUAUGGAAGAAAAAUGAUGGAUCUCAAGUCUAAUAAAGCUAAAUCUGUGCGCCAACAUGCACCAGUCUCCUGUCACAUACAAUUUAUCUGCAAGGGCCACCUCAUCUUCACCAGG